GGAUUCUUCAAAAAAUCAAACACAGAAUCUCCAACAAUUUCACUUUGGGGUAUAUGUCCAAAAGAAUUAAAAUCAGAGACUCAAAACAGAUGUUUGUUUUCAUUCAUUUCUUCCUUCAUUCAUAAAUAACAUUGUUCCCCUACUAUAUGCCAUAUCCUGUCCCCUGUGCCCAGGGUGAGAGCAAACAAAAUGGACUAAAUCUCUACCCUGGUUGUACUCACAUUCUAGUUCGGGGAGAAAGUAAAAUAAGAUACUAUGAAAAAUAUAGUAUUUUAUGUUGUAUGUAUGUGACACACACCAUACACAUAUAUUAUACACGUGUAUAUAUAUAAUCAUAAAUACAAUGUGCAUGUUAACCCCUAUUUGCAAUGCCCUCCACAGGUACACAGGCAGAUGCUCAGCAGGAGUAUAACAGAAACUUGGAACAGAAACGUGGAAACAUGAGCCUCAUUCUGAGCCAACCAAAUUCACCCCUGUGUCCCAGGUGACACGAUCGAAUUUGUGCCAAAUGCUGAAGAGAAAAGGCAAAGGGGCUAAUGCGGGGAAGGCAUGAAUUUGGCUGUGACUUGGGGUGGGUGGGGGGACUGGGGAUUAAACCCAGGCAGAGGGAAGCGCUCUACCAACGACUACCGUACACCCCUCCGCCCUUAUUUUUUAAGACAGGGUCUAGCGAAAUUGCUAACCGGCUUGCCGCAGCCUGGCUGGGCACAAUUCACAAGCCACUUGUCAAGCAGAAAUGAACUUUAUUUUUAGAACACACAUGCAGCACCACAGGAGCUCUUCAGGAAUUCCCUCAGAGCCCAACUGCCACCACCGGCUUCCACCAAGCCUCUCAAUCCCCACUCCUCCUGCUCUUGAGGCCGAUUGGCUGGGUCGCAUGGGUGGAGCCAAAAGAGUCCCCCAAUGAGCAGCUCCGUGGUCUGAAAGGGUAGGGAAACAGCCCAAUGAGCAUCACCACAGAGGAGCCAAUCAGCUGGAAGUUUGCUGGGGCCUUGGUGAGCCAAUCAGCUGGAAGUUUGCUGGGGCCGCUUCGGCUGUGGCUCUCAACAUCUCCCCCUCUCUGUUUAAUUAAACAACAAGCAUGUGGCUUAGGGACCGUGCCUGCCUUAGGUUGUCCAAUACUACAUAUGGUUCUUACCCGUCAUUGGAUGAGCUGACCUCAAGGCAUCAGCCUCCUAUCUUAGGUUGGUACCAUUGUAAUUGGAUCUUACCCGUCAUUGACUACUGGUCCAGCAUACAGCCACACCUGUGGAUAGGCCUUUGUACUAGUGGGGGAGUGAGGUUCUUUGCCUCACCUCUGUUGGCCCCCAAAUUUUAGCUGAACGACCAUCACAAGCAGAAGGGAGGAGGAUACACUAAGCCAAUUGACGGCUCCUUUUGGAAAAAUUGUGCCACCGAUGAUACCAUCAGCAAAAAUACCCCAGCACUACCACAAGUCACUGCACCAACAGAUAGUUCACAAUGCAUACAAGUGAUACAUAGUCCAGGCAAGUUCUGCAAGCAGUUCAGUGAUAGCUAUUGCAGAAGCUGUAGUUUGGUUUUAUCUUUGUCUUCACUGGCACUGGGAUGAAGAUAGGAAUUCUGGCAAUAAUGGCUAAAGAAAAAAUUAUGUAACAUUCCAGCAGGCACUAAAAGAAAACAAUUUUCUGAACAAUUUACAUUAUCCUGAACAGAAUUAUUAAAUAUAAUGAAAAGGAAAGGUGAAAGUAAACAAACAGAUUUGUUAAUCUCCUUUUUUGUUCACAUAUUAAAACAAUCCUCAACAGCUGUUUACCCAAUUUAAAUUAAACCAUUUAAAUCACGUGAAUAAGAAAAAAAAUUGGAUCCAUUUUUUCAUGAGCACUCAUCAUAUAUGAUAUAUGGACAUAUGCACAUACAAACAUACAACACAAAACACAAGUGUGCACACAUAAUAUAAUACAUACAACACAUAACAUAAAAAUAAAGGCCUUGUAACUUUUUACAGGUGAAAUCUCCAUUGCAAUGUUUAAAAACUCUAUAGUCAAAAAAUAGAACUGAUCAGCAAAACAUUAACCUAAGUCUGUAUGAGCUCAAAAAAUAAAAUAAAACUUCAUGAUGUGGGAAAGGGCAAUAAUAAAAUAUAUUGAAAAAAAAAAUCCUGGUUUCAUUAGCCUCCAGGUGUGGGAGAACCACUGUCGCAGAUGUAAGGAGAGCCAAACUGGAGUUCUGGAUAUCAGCUGUUAUGGAUUUGAGCCAAAUCAUCUUCUUUUUGGUCUGUAGAAAUCGCUUUAGUUAAUCUCUCUGGAAUCCAAAUCGGCUGCUGUUCUCNUCUGCCAAAUAUGGUUAGGUAUCAGUCCUCUAGGAUUGACUCCAAGAUUAACUUGUGGUAAAAAGGUCACACAGUAUUCUACUCCUUUGAUACCUAGUUUUGUUAAACCCUCCUUCUAUGGGGCAAUUCCUUUUAAAAUGUCCUGUUUGUUCACAAUUGUAGCAUGUUUUUGGCCUGGCAUCUAAAGCCUGUUGUACUGCAGCUGCCAAGACUUGCCCUUGUUCAUUAAUGUCUCUACAUAAUUUAAUAUAUGUGUUUAAAUCUUCAUGUUUCCAUGGUCUAAUGACCUCUCUGCACCAACGAUUUGCUUGCUCAUAAGCCAGUUGUUUUAUUAAUGGCAUUGCUUGUUCUGUAUUCCCCAAAACUCUGGUAGCUGUUUGAAUAAGCCUAUCUACAAAUUCAGCAUAAGGUUCAUUAACUCCUUGUAUUACCUUAGAUAAUUGACCUUGUAAACCUCCAUGUCCUUGUAAAGUCUUCCAUGCUCUAACCCCAUCUACAGCAAUUUGUGAGUUUAUGGCAGGAUCAUAUGCAAUUUGUUGCUGCUGACUCUCAUAAGGUCCCUUUCCUAACAACAUAUUUAGAUUUCUCUGAGGAUAACCGGCUGCUGCAUAUCGCCUAGCCGUCUCCGUGCAAAAUUCCUCAUUGGCAACCUUCCAUAACAGUUAUUGUCCUCCAUUUAGCACAGCUUUACACAUACUAGUCCAAUCUGCUGGUGUCAUGCUCGAAUUGGUAAUGGAUUCGACCAUGUUUACAGUGAAGGGUGCUUGAGGACCAUAGGUUGUUACAGUCUCUUUUAGCUGCUUCACUGUUUUGAAAUCUAAAACAUGGUGAAUUCGCUGCCCUUCUGCCUGUUCAAAUACAGGGCAUGCUGAUCUUUGAGGUCCUGUUUCAGGAUCCCAUCUAUCAACUAUGGGGGUUGAGGGCCUCCCAGCAUAUGGAGGUGGAGCUGUUGGUUGGACACUUACACCCUCUGGUGAUAGAAAGGUGUUAGAAGCAGCCUCCUGUUGUAACUUCUCCCCUGAUGGCUUUUCCUCCUUUAAAUUUUCUUCCUCUGUCGAGAGAACUUCUCUUUUACUUGAUCUAACAUGUCUUCUACCAGAGUCUGAACUGAAGGCUUUGGACUAGGCAAACAAAAUCGUAUCACCAUCCACAAUGGCAAUGUGCCAACUGGCAGAGUUCCUGGGUUUUCUCUUCUCUCUCCCUUAAAUCUUCACCAUGAUGGUCCCAUUGUGAUAUAUUUAACAACUCCUCCUUAAAAAGCCAUGGGCUAUAUUUUUGUAUUGUAUCAACGUAUGCCCUGACUGCUCUUGAUUUUACUGGGAUGCCUCCUUCCUCUAACAAUUUACUUAACACUCUCUUGGUUUGUUUUUUACUAAUUUCUGAUCCCAUAUUUCUACUUAUAAUACAACCCAACAAGAUGACACCAAAGCCAAGACAGAAUGAAACAAAAAUGGAACAAAAAUUCAUUAUAUCAGCCUUUCUAUCCUCCUGAAAUGUCCAUUGGUCCUUUCUCCCUAUCUGUUCCUCAGACGCAAAUAGUUUUUCCUCAGAUGUGAGCGGUUUUUCUUCCGUUUCACUCAUCUCCAGGGACAGGCAACUUAAAACAAAAGCGAAACAAAAUGAAAGAAGAAUCUUAAAAUGGCUACCCAUCCUCUGGCCCUGCCCUCAGGGGCCAGCAGUUUACCUUAUCACUUACUCUCAGUCGUUCCCCAUAUGGGCCACCAAAUGCCGCAGCCUGGCUGGGCACAAUUCACCAGCCACUUAUCAAGAAGAAUUGAACUUUAUUUUCAAAACACACAUGCAGCACCACAGGAGCUCUUCAGGAAUUCCCUCAGAGUCCAACUGCCAGCACCGGAUUCCACCAAGCCUCUCAACCUCCACGCCUCCCGCUCUUGAGGCCGAUUGGCUGGGUCACAUGGGCGGAGCCAAAAGAGUCCCCCAAUGAGCAGCUCCGUGGUCUGAAAGGGCGGGAAACAGCCCAAUGAGUAUCACCAGAGGAGCCAAUCAGCUGGAAGUUUGCUGGGGCUGUGGUGAGCCAAUCAGCUGGAAGUUUGCUGAGGCCGCUUUGGCUGUGGCUCUCAACACUGGCUUCCAACUCCUGCCCGCAGCCUGCCGGGAAGCUGGACCCAGAUGCGUCUGCUACUUAAAAACCUCCAGUGAAGGACGGCCUCCCUGGGAAGGGGCCCCCGAGUAGAGAACCCAAGGAGGUGGGGGCUCUGCAGAUAAAAGACUGUGACAGACGCGGAGACCCUUGGUGGCCCAAGCGAGGGCUUGGGGCUCCAGAGCUGCAGGAGCCCAGUGAGCAGGGCGGGGCAGCCUCGGGAAGCGGACUCGUUUUUGCAGUCCCUUUGUUUGGGGUGUGUCCCGCAGCGGGCCGAGGCUGACUUGGGGCAGCACGAUGCCCGGAGCUCGGUGCUCCUAGGUGCCCGCCCGGGGUCCAGCCGGCCCAUCCCGGCUCCGCGGCUGUUUUAACGCUUGGCUUUCUUUUAGAAGCGCAGACCCCCCUCCUCUCCUUUCUCAGCCAGGCUGGCCACGGAAGGUGAAGGUCCAAGGUGACCUCUUGGAUCCUCUCCCAGCGACGGUCUCCAUCGGCCUCCGCGUCCUUCCCUAAGCCCCGCCCCCACGCCUGCGCCCUCGCGGUCUUCCCUUCCCGCACCUCGGAACUGUCCCGGGUGCAGGCCGGCGGGUCCGAAGCGCGCGGGCGGGAACCACCACCGACGCCGCACCCCGCUCUCGGCCUCGGAGGGCGAGCGCCGUGGAGUCCAGCUGGACUGGGGGCCGACGACCCCGCGACCCAGCGCAGCCGGGGACCUUGGGCGGGUCCUUUCUCUCGCCUCGCUCUCCUCGACUGUGAAAAGCGGGUAGUGACAUCAGCCCUCGGCUGGAGACGUAGUCUGGUAACCGAGAGCUUGUGGAGCCAGAGCCCUGGGUCUCAUCCCCAGCGUCUCAGAAAACAAAACCCCCUUAAAAUCACGCCUCAUUGGCUUUAAAAAAAAUAUUAAAAAUCGCACCUAUUUCUGGGGCACCAUAUGCUGUUUCUAGCUGUAUACACCGUGUGAUCCCGGGGUGGUUUGUGCCCCCCCUAGAAGUGAGGUCACUUCUAGGAAAGCUCAUUGUACAUUGUAAAGGGCUACACACGUGAGUGGUGUCCACCUGGCCGAUUUCCGAG
rnacentral:lncRNA from 1 species